rnacentral:rRNA from 1 species
GACGAACGCUGGCGGCGUGCUUAACACAUGCAAGUCGAACGGAAAGGCCCCUUUGGGGGUACUCGAGUGGCGAACGGGUGAGUAACACGUGAGUAACCUGCCCUUGACUUCGGGAUAACUUCAGGAAACUGGGGCUAAUACCGGAUAGGAAUCCUUGCUGCAUGGUGGGGGUUGGAAAGCUUCGGCGGUUUUGGAUGGACUCGCGGCUUAUCAGCUUGUUGGUGGGGUAGUGGCUUACCAAGGCUUUGACGGGUAGCCGGCCUGAGAGGGCGACCGGCCAAAUUGGGACUGAGAUACGGCCCAAACUCCUACGGGGGGCAGCAGGGGGGAAUUUUGCACAAGGGGCGGAAGCCUGAUCCAGCAACGCCGGGGGGGGGAUGACGGCCUUCGGGUUUUAAACCGCUUUCAGCGGGGGCGAAGCUUGUGGUGACGGUACCUGAAGAAGAAGCACCGGCUAACUACGU